UGCAAGAAAGCAGGAGUAGAACACUAGCAAGAUGGCGCUUGUGAAGAACACCAGCGUGUUGUGUUGGAUAGCUAUUAUUCUCAUGUCCAUCACUUCCUUGUCCUGCCAUGUUGCUGCGAGGAGGACACAUACAAUGGACUUUGGACCUAUUCUUGGGUGUGUAAAGAUGGAAAAAGCUUGUUCGGUUGUUGGGUGCACCAAGAUAUGUUCCGACCUUGGUUGGAAUACCCACAGAUGCUAUUGUGCCGAUGCUGGCAGUUGCUGCCACUAUGCGGAUGGAAAACCAUUAAAUUGAUAGUAGAAUAUAUUGUCAUGUGGUAUUUUCUUAGGAGGGUGAAAGUCAAUCAUCUAUGCCACUACCAAUCAAUAGAUUUAAUAAACUUCUAAACAAUGUAGUUGGAUUAUAUUUUUGAAGUGACUAUUUCGGUGAUAUGUUC